CGGACCGGCGCGACGGGUGAGUAACGCGUAUGACAACUUACCUAUCAGGAGGGGAUAACCCGGCGAAAGUCGGACUAAUACCGCAUGAAGCAGGGGCCCCGCAUGGGGAUAUUUGCUAAAGAUUCAUCGCUGAUAGAUAGGCAUGCGUUCCAUUAGGCAGUUGGCGGGGUAACGGCCCACCAAACCGACGAUGGAUAGGGGUUCUGAGAGGAAGGUCCCCCACACUGGUACUGAGACACGGACCAGACUCCUACGGGAGGCAGCAG
rnacentral:rRNA from 1 species